UACGUAGGGUGCAAGCGUUAAUCGGAAUUACUGGGCGUAAAGCGUGCGCAGGCGGUUAUGUAAGACAGUUGUGAAAUCCCCGGGCUCAACCUGGGAACUGCAUCUGUGACUGCAUAGCUAGAGUACGGUAGAGGGGGAUGGAAUUCCGCGUGUAGCAGUGAAAUGCGUAGAUAUGCGGAGGAACACCGAUGGCGAAGGCAGCUCACUGGGACGGUACUGACGCUGAGGCGCGAAAGCGUGGGGAGCAAACAGG
rnacentral:rRNA from 1 species